AACAAAAGCCGAGCUCUGCCCUCCGGACCGCGCCUUCCUGCGGGGCGUGGGACUCGGCCGGGCGCGCGGGGAGCGGACACGGGGCGAGUCUACUGGAUUCGGCCAUCAACCCCUGCCGGGUGCGGGCCUACGGCUACCAAGCUUCCCAGCUUCCUUCGCUGCCGGCCUUCCUGGCCCCAGGCACCCGUAAAUGAAUGGGCGCCGCGUCCGGUCGCCGCGACAAGAUGGCGAUACCCGCCUUUGUCAGCCAGGACCGCGCCGUCCGCUGCCGGGGCUGAAAACAAAGGCCGGCUCUGGUGGCCGGUGCAGAGGAAAAGGCGCCGGGCUCCUGGGUUCGCCUGAUGCAUCAGUGCUGGGAGGGGACGUCCUGCCCAGAGCACUCAGAGGGUGGCCUAGUCUUUCCGCGUCUCCUCCACAGCCUCGGGUUCCCCUGGGGAACUGCAGCUUGGCUUUUGACCUUUUGAUACAUUUAAACAUUUUUUUUUUCCGGGUUUUUUUAAACCACAGGAUUAGCAUCCCGAAAUAGCAUCCCUAUACGUGUUCAGCUCAUCUUUAAAGAGGUUAUGUCAAAAUUUUUAUUUUGAGAGGAGAAUUAGUGGGGCUUCAUUUAAUUAAUUAAUUGUUUAGUGCAUUGCUGUUUUGCCUGGAUGUGUCUGUGUCUGUGUGUGUAUGUGAGGGUGUCAGAUUCCCUGGAACUGGAGUUAGAGUCAUUAGCUGACUUGUGGGUGCUGGGAACAGAACUCAAGACCCUUUGGAAGAUCAGCCGAUGCUCUUAACCCCUGAACCAUCUCUCCAGCCCCGAAUUAGUAGAAUUUAUAAGUAUAUAAAUGACACUUGUGCAUGAAUUUUGAAAUUUCAGAUAGACUUACAUGUGUGGGAAACCAGACCAGAAACACUUCUGAGUCAAGAGCUUGGAUUCUGAAGUGUGGAAAGCACUGAGACGUGAAGAUGAGUGAACUUGACCAGCUGCGGCAGGAGGCCGAGCAACUGAAGAACCAAAUUAGAGAUGCUCGUAAAGCGUGUGCCGAUGCGACUCUUUCUCAGAUCACAAACAAUAUUGAUCCAGUGGGAAGAAUCCAAAUGCGGACCAGGAGAACACUGAGGGGGCAUCUGGCAAAGAUUUAUGCCAUGCACUGGGGCACAGACUCAAGGCUCCUUGUCAGCGCCUCUCAGGAUGGAAAACUCAUCAUCUGGGACAGUUAUACCACAAACAAGGUUCAUGCCAUCCCUCUGCGCUCCUCUUGGGUCAUGACCUGCGCAUACGCUCCUUCUGGGAAUUAUGUGGCCUGUGGUGGCCUGGAUAACAUCUGCUCCAUUUACAACCUGAAAACUCGUGAAGGGAAUGUGCGUGUGAGUCGUGAGCUGGCGGGACACACAGGUUAUCUGUCCUGUUGCCGGUUCCUGGAUGACAAUCAGAUAGUUACCAGUUCUGGAGACACCACAUGUGCCCUGUGGGACAUCGAGACUGGCCAGCAGACAACCACAUUUACUGGACACACUGGAGAUGUCAUGAGCCUGUCUCUUGCUCCUGACACCAGACUGUUUGUCUCUGGUGCUUGUGAUGCUUCAGCCAAGCUCUGGGAUGUCCGAGAAGGGAUGUGCCGGCAGACCUUUACAGGACACGAGUCUGACAUCAAUGCCAUAUGUUUCUUUCCCAAUGGCAAUGCCUUUGCCACUGGCUCAGACGAUGCCACAUGCAGGCUGUUUGACCUCCGUGCAGACCAGGAGCUCAUGACCUACUCCCAUGACAACAUUAUCUGUGGUAUCACAUCUGUUUCCUUCUCCAAGAGUGGCCGCCUCCUCCUUGCUGGGUAUGAUGACUUCAACUGUAAUGUCUGGGAUGCACUCAAAGCUGACAGAGCAGGUGUCUUAGCUGGACACGACAACCGAGUCAGCUGCUUGGGGGUGACUGAUGAUGGCAUGGCUGUGGCAACAGGGUCCUGGGACAGCUUCCUCAAGAUCUGGAACUAAAGCCAGGAGCAGGUGGAUGGAUGCCAUGGCGACUGGAAGACCAUUCCAACCUUGAAUCGUUACAGCGAUAGCAUAUCCUAUCCAACCAUACUAACGUGGACACCCACACCUCCCCUCAGAACUUCAAAAGGGCAAGAUCUUUUUUCCUUCACUUAUUGCUGAAACCAAGAGCACAAUUCCCAUUAAGAGAAGGAUCUCUGUGCUGUAAACUAAACAAAUUGUGCAUUUUUUCUGGGGCCAUUGUUUUUGGUUUAUUUUGUUAUUUUGUUUUGUUUUUGUUUUUUUGGUUUCAUUUUGUUUUGGGUUGGUCCAAUUUUAAAAGGAAAUACUACAAUAAAAAUGUUAACCAGAAGGUAACCCUGAGUGUGAUUGUGAGAGAGACACGCCUUUUUACUAGUUCAUUUGCAUUUAAAUCAGUGAUCCUGUUCUGUGGCAUUCAUGAAAAACAAGUUGAAGAAUUUGUUUAUCUGGAAUUGUUUCUAAAUAUAAGUCAUUUGUAGCAAGACUUUGGAAGCAUUCUUUCUUAAACAUAUUCCUUUAUGUUCAGUAGUUAAGAGAACCAGGGCCCACGGCGGUCUCUGACUUGUCACUGAUGUUUUUUUUUUUUUUGUCCCUGGCUUGCUUUUUUUUUUUUUUUUUUUUUUUUUUUUGUCUCAUGUCACAGAUGACUGUUUCGCACAAACACAGCAUAGUGGAAGAAAAAAUUUCAGAAGCAAAGUAGCCAAGCACAUGUUAGGAUGGCCACGAAUGCUUGGUCAGAGUCCUUCCUUCCCUUGCUCAGCAGCGGACUUACUCCCAGCGCCUUCCCUCCCUCCUGUCCCUCCUGUCCCCUCACUGUCCACUUUCUGUUCUUUCCUUGGGUUUCCUGUGAAGUUGGAGGGACGUUUGUAGUCAUGUGACACUAGCCGUCCUGCCCCUGCUGUCAGAGAUUUUUUUCUCCAGAGAGGUGCCUGUCCUGUGCUUGGAUAGUCAGUUGGUUAUUUGUGUAUGAAACAAUGUACAAAUCAAUGUUUUGAAAAUAAUGAUCUCAGACUUUCUAAGUUAAAUUUUAAACAAUUUGAUUGUUUGCCAUAUUGGGUGGGGUUACUCUUAGAAUCGCAUGCUGUAGAAAUGCUCUAAAGUGCAUAUAGGACUCAGUCCUUAGAUGUUCUUUUUAUUUUAAGAAAUAACCUCUUCAAGUUGUAACCGUGGCGGCUUUGUCCAUUACUGUUGCUAUUCUGCACACAUAUCGGAAGCAGCAAGCGCUUUACACACUUGAGUAGUGGGAUAAGUCACUGUUUUCUUUACAAAACAAAACAGUCCUGUUGGGAAUGAUUGCUGUUGGAUUCUGGAAGGGAGGGGAAAGCUGCUCUGCUGCCUCUUUGCCACUUCCUGGAAGCCUUCCUCCCUGGAAGAACAGCCUUUUGCAUCUGAGGCGACCAUUUUUACACCAUGCAGAUCUUCGUGGUUAUCAUCUCAAAGCCAUGUUCAGCAGCAGCGUUUGGACAGCAGUGUUCUGUGGGCCCUCCCCUCCCCCAUAUCCUGCACCCCCUCAUAGCAGUAGUGGCUUCGCCAUUCUGUUUUCUGCAGUGUCCUGUACAAAACUGUGCUGUGACUGUGCGGUAGGCCUGGACAUGGCAAAGAGAAUACAGCGAAGCCCCUUCUCUUCCUACCAAACAACUCUGUAGAGCUCUCUGCACCCUGUACCCUUUUCACCUUUUGUAUUUAAUUUUAAAGUCAGUGUACUGCAAGGAGGCUGGAUGCAAGAUAGAUACUAUAUUAAACUGUACUGUUAUUUAAGAUGUAAUAAAGCAGUUUGACAUGAGGGA